UACGGGGGGGGCAAGCGUUGUUCGGAAUUACUGGGCGUAAAGGGCUCGUAGGCGGCCCACUAAGUCGGACGUGAAAUCCCUCGGCUUAACCGGGGAACUGCGUCCGAUACUGGAUGGCUUGAGUUUGGGAGAGGGAUGCGGAAUUCCAGGUGUAGCGGUGAAAUGCGUAGAUAUCUGGAGGAACACCGGUGGCGAAGGCGGCAUCCUGGACCAACACUGACGCUGAUGAGCGAAAGCCAGGGGAGCAAACGGG
rnacentral:rRNA from 1 species